rnacentral:lncRNA from 1 species
GGGGGAGGGAUGCAGAGACCGGUAGAUCCCUGGCUCAGUGGCCAGCCAUUCCAGCUGAAUUGGUGAGUCUCAAACUCAGUGAGACACCUUGUCUCAGAAAGUAAGCUGGAAAAGAAUAGAGAAAGGCACCUGCCGCGACUUCUGGUCUUCACAUGUUUACACACAUGUGCACACAAACAUAUACAGCACUACUUUAGCUAGGUUUUUCUGUCUCUGUGAUAAAACACUGAACAGAAGCCACUUGAGAAGGACAGGGCUUACUGGUUUACACGGCCAUCAUUGAGGGAAGUCAGGGCAGGAACUCAAAAGAGAGCUACAGCAGAUGCCAUGGCAGAAGAAGAAUACCACUUACUGGCUGGCUCCAUAGGCUCAUGUUCAGAUAGAUUUGGUACACAUCCCAGGACCACCUGUGUAGAGAUGCUUCUGACAUUGAGUUGACAAUAAACAAUAAUCAGGAUAACCACUGAUGAUGGGGCUGGGCAGAUAUAUAGCCAAGCACAAUACUAUGCUCUGUCUGUAACAGGUGUCCAUUUGUUUUUCUGUCUUUCCAGACUGAGACCUACUAGGAGGAAAGAUACUUCAAGAACAUCCCAAAAUGAUUAUGCAGGUUUGUGUCCCCAUGUACAGGACAGGAUGAAGAAACACCUUCACAAUGAAGAAGGCCAAUGUCUUUGUCACUGGAUGAAAGUCUUCUUUUCUGUAAGAAGUUCCUCUUUCUCCAAAUAUUGACAUUCCCUGGAUUGUACUUUAAUAGCUGAAGGCCGCUUUACUGUCCAGCAAACACAGCAUGCCCAGUGUGGCGUAUACACAGUGCUUCAUCUCCCCUGAGUUUCCUGCUUCCCGUUAUCUCUAGUUCUUCAGAGCCAGGAAACCACUCCUGGGAGCCUCUGCUAUGUUGGAGUAUGUACCUCUGCCCCAGCCUUCCAUGGUCAUUCGCAAUGGCUUGCUGCUUAGGUAUUCAGUCCCACUGCCUAACAUUUCUGAUGUCCCCCACUUUAUAGUCACUUCAGCCAUUGUCCAUUGAGUGGCUUGUCAUGCUAAAAGGCAAAGCUAGGACAAAACUCUGAGAGUUCCAGAGAUAGACUGAUACACUGUAUUUGAACAUUCAUUUAAAGAUUCUGAUACUCUAUUGGAAGAGAUUUAAAUAUAGUUUCUUCAGUUAUUAAGAAGUUUCUGAGCAGUGGGACCUGGCUGUAGACUCACACAGUCUCAUUUUUUUUCCAAUUUUCUGCCCUCCAGUUGUAUUACUGUGUCUUCAGAAUACACCUGCAUCCAACACUUCAAAAAGCAUUGUCAGUACCUACUUUGUAACUAGCUCUCUUCUAACCAUUGACUGCAUCCCAGAGGUGAAGAAGGCAAUUGGAAUCCCGGCCCCUUAUCAAACAUGUAUCUUAGUCCUGGACACCAACCAUAGGCAUGUAAACUAAUUUAAUCA